rnacentral:rRNA from 1 species
CNUGGGAACUGCGUUCUGAACUGGGUGACUAGAGUGUGUCAGAGGGAGGUAGAAUUCCACGUGUAGCAGUGAAAUGCGUAGAGAUGUGGAGGAAUACCGAUGGCGAAGNCAGCCUCCUGGGAUAACACUGACGUUCAUGCUCGAAAGCGUGGGUAGCAAACAGGAUUAGAUACCCUGGUAGUNCACGCCCUAAACGAUGUCAAUUAGCUGUUGGGCAACUUGAUUGCUUAGUAGCGUAGCUAACGCGUGAAAUUGACCGCCUGGGGAGUACGGUCGCAAGAUUAAAACUCAAAGGAAUUGACGGGGACCCGCACAAACGGUGGAUGAUGUGGAUUAAUNNGAUGCAACGCGAAGAACCUUACCUGGUCUUGACAUGUACGGAAUCCUCCAGAGACGGAGGAGUGCCUUCGGGAGCCGUAACACAGGUGCUGCAUGGCUGUCGUCAGCUCGUGUCGUGAGAUGUUGGGUUAAGUCCCGCGACGAGCGCAACCCUUGUCAUUAGUUGCCAUCAUUUAGUUGGGCACUCUAAUGAGACUGCCGGUGACAAGCCGGAGGAAGGUGGGGAUGACGUCAAGUCCUCAUGGCCCUUAUGACCAGGGCUUCACACGUCAUACAAUGGUCGGUACAGAGGGUAGCCAAGCCGCGAGGUGGAGCCAAUCUCACAAAACCGAUCGUAGUCCGGAUUGCACUCUGCAACUCGAGUGCAUGAAGUCGGAAUCGCUAGUAAUCGCAGGUCAGCAUACUGCGGUGAAUACGUUCCCGGGUCUUGUACACACCGCCCGUCACACCAUGGGAGUGGGGGAUACCAGAAGUAGGUAGGGUA